UAAUUCAUCUCAGCCAUCCCACUA
rnacentral:tRNA from 1 species